CAGCACAAUGGCGCUUAAAUUCGUUCAGGUAGCGGCACUGGAAACGGAGACUCCUUUUAGUCAAGUCUGUGUAUGUGGCGGAUCACGUGGAACACAUGUCUCACCCCAGGGUCACAGACUGUGCUGGGGUCUCUUUAACAGGAUUGGGGGGUGAGAGCAGCCAUAAUUGGUCUGACAAGGAAAUUCCAUCCUCCUGCAGGACACGCUGCUCUGUAGCAAUAUUCCCAGGAAAAUAUGGAAUAUGUCUGGCUUGGAUUUCUGAAGGAAUAACCUUCGUACAUCUCUUGGAAUAUGCACUCUCCUUGGUGGUCUGGUGUGCAGAUUGAGUAUGGUAGCGCCCCUACUAUAAAUGCAACACCCAGAGUUGCACAGGGCCCCAACAUGAUUGUGCCAUGAGCCUAAGUGCCUCUGAUCUCUGCUUUUUCCCAGACUCCAUCUUCAAAUUUCCCACAGUCCCCUGCAGUAUGAAUUUUUGUUUUGUUUCCAUUGAUUUGAAUGGAGUCGGUCAUGGUGUAAUGACAUUGUUUCUGGUGUAUAACUGUAACUGACAAUGUCUAAACCCUGCAACUUACACUCAACUUACACUCACAUACAAGAUGGCAGCAAUAUCAAUAUGCAGUUAUUUUUUUAUUAUAUUUUGCAGUUUUGUUUAUUUACAUACAUGCACAUUAGCGUUAUGUCCAUUCAUGUCAGUUAGUGCACAGGGAGUGUUAGAGAGCUCUGUCAGCAUAGCAGCACCAUGUGUGACAGGGCACUUGCCUUCUGACUGAUUUUAAAUUGCUACCUCACGAUAUUCAACACUGUAAAGCAGGCUCUGGCCGGACAUUUAAUCUACACAAAACUAAAACAAGAUAUUGACUGGCUGGUCACUUUGAGUUAGGUCAGUGGCAGGCCUCUUGUUCAUAUUUUUCUGUAUGUCCCCAGAAUGGAAAACGCUCUUGUCUCUAUGAAUGAGACACAGAGAUACACAAACCAGAACAGGGAACUUGCUCUGCUCUCUGCUCAUAGAAUAAUAUGGUUUCCUGUCUCAUCUGUGUCAAUUACAUCCUCAUCCUGUGCGUAAUGGCAUCUUUGCCAGCUGUACCCUGUAACAGCUCUUUAGCAGUGGGCAGUAUCUUACAUUAGCAGGGAGAUCAGCUAUAUGUGUGGUACUACUGCCUGUGCAGGGCAGGCCUCGUCUUUUCACUCUGCAAAUAAAGCUUCCUUUGUUUGCACUGGGGGCAGAGACAGGAAAGCAGAAGCAGGGGAGUUAUUAAAAACUAUUUGCACCCUUCCCCCCUCCCUUAACUCGAAUACUUGUCACAGCAGCACAAAAAUCCAGCAAAUCAUUUCCCAUAAAUGAGAAACAUGGCCACAGAGCUCACAAUCAGUAGCGGCCCAGACUAACAUAUAAGAAUCCUCAUGCUGAUUGAAUCCUAGCUAGAAUGGGAAGCAAACAUUGGAUGUUAGCAACUCAGAUGUAGAAACUAGCAUGCAUCCACUACGGAGCCAGUCAGAAUAUGGAUUUAUGUUGUUCAGCCUUAGUUCAAAGACUAAUUAUUUUCCCUUAGGCUGGGCUUCCAGGACUAUCAAGAAGAAACAUUUCAACCUCAAAUGUCACCCUAACUGGCAUUCAGGCUCCCACCAGCUACAGGCCUACCCUGUGCCACCAAUAAGUUUUAUCAUCAGGGCCAACAGACUACGCUAUGGUCGUAAUGCAUAGGCCAUCAACCAGUGGUUGGCCCCUAUGAGGGUCCAGGAACAGCAUCUGGGGAUCAGAGCCUAUAGACCAGCUAGAGUGAAUUAUAGCUACAACCAUGUUUUAAUAUAUCCAUAAAUUUUGUUAUGAGCUAAAGGGACAGUGCUUUAUGUGCUCCAUUAGUGGGGUGAUCUUGCCUUACUAUCAGCCAACCCCACCCAGAACCAUUUUAGCAAUAUGCCACCCAUCUCUCACCGUGCACUUCCGUCCAAGCAGCUGGAAUACUUUCUGGUUCUCCUGGGGCAAAAGGAGGCUGGAAGAGACAUUGUCCUGCAGACGGGCUCCAGUUUUAGGCCCCCCUCGACUCAUGCUUGGAGCUGCCUCUCUCUUUUAAUGUGAAGACAAGAAA